GAAAUUCCAAUCGAACCCGGAGAUAGCUGGUUCUCCCCGAAAUAGCUUUAGGGCUAGCGUCGAGGUAAGUUGCGUGAAGGUAGAGCACUGAAUAUGUGAUGGCCCCAUCUCGGGGUACUGAGCAUAAUCAAACUGCGAAUGUCACGCCAACAUGCUCGGCAGUCAGACAGCGGGUGAUAAGGUCCGUUGUCAAGAGGGAAACAGCCCAGACCAUCAGCUAAGGUCCCAAAAUGUAUGCUAAGUGGAAAAGGAUGUGGAGAUGUACAGACAACUAGGAGGUUGGCUCAGAAGCAGCCAUCCUUUAAAGAGUGCGUAACAGCUCACUAGUCGAAUGACUCUGCGCCGAUAAUUUACCGGGGCUAAGCAUACUACCGAAGCUAUGGAUCCCAAGGGAUGGUAGGGGAGCGUUCCAUGAACGGAGAAGUACGACCGAAAGGACGUGUGGAGAUCAUGGAAGAGAGAAUGCCGGUGUGAGUAGCGGAACGUGGGUGAGAAUCCCACGCACCGAAAACCCAAGGUUUCCAGAGGAAGGUUCGUCCGCUCUGGGUAAGUCGGGACCUAAGGCGAGGCCGAAAGGCGUAGUCGAUGGACAACAGGUAGAGAUUCCUGUACCCGUAUAUAUGUGAAGGAAUGACGGAGAGAGGAAGCUGCAGCCAGCGGCUGGAAGAGCUGGUGCAAGCGAGAUAUCGGGAUGGCAGGCAAAUCCACCAUCCGAAACGAGAAGGCGUGAAGCGUACGGAAAGCUACGGCGAGUACGGAAGGCAGUGGAGGAACUUCCAAGAAAAGUUUCUAACGUUAAGUAUAUAUGGCCCGUACCGAAAAUGGACACACAUGGGUGAGGAGAGAAUCCUAAGGUGAGCGAGAGAACUAUAGCUAAGGAACUCUGCAAAAUGACUCCGUAACUUAGGGAGAAGGAGUGCUCAUAGAGAUAUGAGCCGCAGUGAAACGGCCCAAGCGACUGUUUACCAAAAACACAGCUCUCUGCUAAGCCGCAAGGCGAAGUAUAGGGGGUGACGCCUGCCCGGUGCUGGAAGGUUAAGGGGAGGGGUUAACGCAAGUGAAGCCCUGAACUGAAGCCCCAGUAAACGGCGGCCGUAACUAUAACGGUCCUAAGGUAGCGAAAUUCCUUGUCAGGUAAGUUCUGACCCGCACGAAAGGCGUAACGAUUUGGGCGCUGUCUCAGCUGUAGACUCGGUGAAGUCUUAGUACCUGUGAAGAUGCAGGUUACCCGCGACUAGACGGAAAGACCCCAUGGAGCUUCACUGCAGGUUGAUAUUGGGAUUUGAUGCAGCAUGUACAGGAUAGGUAGGAGGCAAAGAGAUGGAUACGCCAGUAUUCAAGGAGCCGCUGUUGGGAUACUACCCCUGUUGUAUUGGAUUUCUAACCGGACGACGUAGAACCGUUGACGGGACAGUGUCAGUCGGGCAGUUUGACUGGGGCGGUCGCCUCCCAAAGAGUAACGGAGGCGCCCAAAGAUACCCUCAGCUUGGAUGGAAACCAAGCGCAGAGUGCAAAGGCAAAAGGGUGUUUGACUGCGAGACCCACAAGUCGAGCAGGGACGAAAGUCGGGCUUAGUGAUCCGGCGGUGCUGAAUGGAAAGGCCGUCGCUCAACGGAUAAAAGCUACCCUGGGGAUAACAGGCUGAUCUCCCCCAAGAGU
rnacentral:rRNA from 1 species